rnacentral:rRNA from 1 species
CCUGGCUCAGGAUGAACGCUGGCGGCGUGCUUAACACAUGCAAGUCGAACGAAGAUGCCGGAGUGCUUGCACUUUGGCAGACUGAGUGGCGGACGGGUGAGUAACGCGUGGUAACCUGCCUUAUACAGGGGGAUAACAGUUGGAAACGACUGCUAAUACCGCAUAAGCGCACGGUAUCGCAUGAUACAGUGUGAAAAACUCCGGUGGUAUAAGAUGGACCCGCGUCUGAUUAGCUAGUUGGUGAGGUAACGGCCCACCAAGGCGACGAUCAGUAGCCGGCCUGAGAGGGUGAACGGCCACAUUGGGACUGAGACACGGCCCAAACUCCUACGGGAGGCAGCAGUGGGGAAUAUUGCACAAUGGGGGAAACCCUGAUGCAGCGACGCCGCGUGAGUGAUGAAGUAUUUCGGUAUGUAAAACUCUAUCAGCAGGGAAGAUAAUGACGGUACCUGACUAAGAAGCACCGGCUAAAUACGUG